AAAAGUUUGUGCACUUUCCUGAAUCCUUUCCUAUCAAUUCCCUCCAUUCAUUGCAGGGAGCAAAAAAUGAUCCUGUGGCUGAAUUUGGUGCCCUGGCUGGCACUCCUUCAAAGUGUCAAAUCUCAAGGACAGUUGGUGGAAUCUGGAGGGGGUGUGAGAAGCCCUGGAGGGUCCCUCCGUCUCUCCUGCCAAGCCUCUGGAUUCACCUUCAGCAGCUAUUGGAUGCACUGGGUGAGACAGGCUCCAGAGAAAGGACUAGAAUGGGUGGCCGCCAUAAGUACAGGCUCAUCUCCUUCCACUUACUACCCAGAUAAAGUCAAGGGACGCUUCACCAACUCCAGGGACGAUGCCAAAAGCCAGCUGUAUCUGCAGAUGAACAAUCUGGAACUGGAGGAUACUUCAGUUUAUUACUGCACAAAAGACACAGUGAGAGGAAGUGAAUCAGAUGCUAAGCAAAAACCUUUUUCCCCCCUCUCAGCAGCUCUCUAA